GCAUUUGCCAAGGAUGUUUUCAUUAAUCAAGAACGAAAGUUGGGGGCUCGAAGACGAUCAGAUACCCGCCUAGUCUCAACCAUAAACGAUGCCGACCAGGGAUCGGCGGAUGUUGCUUAUAGGACUCCGCCGGCACCUUAUGAGAAAUCAAAGUCUUUGGGUUCCGGGGGGAGUAUGGUCGCAAGGCUGAAACUUAAAGGAAAAGGGCCCAGGC
rnacentral:ncRNA from 1 species